AGUGAACGCUGGCGGCGUGCCUAAUACAUGCAAGUCGAACGGAGUGUCGCACGGGUGAGUAAUGUAUAGCUAAUCUGCCCUACACUAGAGGACAACAGUUGGAAACGGCUUCUAAUACUCUAUAGUGUAGGAUGAGGGUAUAUUGUAUCAGCUAGUUGGUGCGGUAAUGGCUCACCAAGGCUAUGACGCAUAACUGGUCUGAGAGGAUGAUCAGUCACACGGGAACUGAGACACGGUCGAGACUCCUACGGGAGGGAGCAGGAGGGAAUAGUGCUAAACGGGGGAAACCCUGAAGCAGCAACGCCGCGAGGAGGAUGACACUUGUCGGAGCGUAAACUCCUUUUGUUAGGGAAGCGGUACCUAACGAAUAAGCACCGGCUAACUCCGUGCCAGCAGCCGCGGUAAUAC
rnacentral:rRNA from 1 species